GUGAAGAAGGAUGUAUUUGCUUCCCCUUCUGCCAUGUUUGUAAGUUUCCUGAGGCCUCCCCAGCCCUUCAGAACUAUGGGGUAACACAUAGAAAAGGCACGGAGAAGUUAAGUGAUUUGCCUGUGGUCACAAAGCCUGUUAGCAGCAAACCCAGAACAAGAACCUAAGAUUUAUGACCGCCAGUUCCAGCUGUUUUUCUUCGUCAUGUAUCCUCAGCAAUCAACAUAAUCAAAAUCUGUUUGGAGACUACUGAUUUGUAUAAAGGAAGAUAACACCGAACAACCAAACAGGAAGUAAUCCAGCGAAUCUGGAACAGCGGUGGAAUUUAGAAGCAAGGCCAGAUGAGGACCCUAAGACCUAGAGAAACUAAGUCAUUUGCUCAAGAAGACAAAGGCAUCGUCUGGUCCAGUUCAGCACAGAGCUAGCUGCAAGUGACAACCUAAGAGAAAAGUCAGCGAGAACAAAGAUCCAUCUCUUCGUUGACUGCCUUAAUCCCUAGAGCUGUGUUCUUCAAUUUGUUACUAUUUGCUACAAUUUUUCUGCCUAACAAGCAAGUUCUAUCCUGCCUAGGAGAGAAACUUUUAGUAAAUUCAUCUUCAUUCACUACUAUUCAGCUCAUGCUGUAAAAACUUAGAUAAUGCUGUCUGAAAUACUUAACUCCUGGUCAAAUGCAGCUGCUAUUUCAUUC
rnacentral:lncRNA from 1 species